rnacentral:rRNA from 1 species
CGCGAAUUCGCCCUUGGGGUGCAGCAGGCGCGAAAACUUUACAAUGCUGGCAACAGCGAUAAGGGGACCUCGAGUGCCAGGAUACAAUCUUGGCUGUCGCGAUGCCUAAAAAGCAUUGCAUAGCAAGGGCCGGGCAAGACCGGUGCCAGCCGCCGCGGUAACACCGGCGGCUCGAGUGGUAACCGCUAUUAUUGGGUCUAAAGGGUCUGUAGCCGGCCGGAUAAGUCUUUUGGGAAAUCCAGCUGCUCAACAGUUGGGCUUUCAGAAGAUACUGUUCGGCUCGAGACCGGGAGAGGUGAGAGGUACUUCAGGGGUAGGGGUGAAAUCUUGUAAUCCUUGAAGGACCACCAGUGGCGAAGGCGUCUCACCAGAACGGAUCUGACGGCAAGGGACGAAAGCUAGGGGCACGAACCGGAUUAGAUACCCGGGUAGUCCUAGCCGUAAACGAUACUCGCUAGGUGUCAGCCACGGUGCGACCGUGGUUGGUGCCGUAGGGAAGCCGUGAAGCGAGCCACCUGGGAAGUACGGCCGCAAGGCUGAAACUUAAAGGAAUUGGCGGGGGAGCAC